GAGAAGGAGAUCUGUGAACUCGGAGUGGACGGGGGGCUGACACAGAGAGUUGACUCGGACUCCAGCGUUGUAUCGAAGCCUAUAUAAAUCCCAAAAUUCCCCAAACGCCCCCAUUAUGAUCAUUUCCAAUUCCGAUUCCUAUAUCUAAUUUUCCUAACAUUCAGACAAAAAGCAAGCCACGGCGAUUUAGCAAAAAUCCGAAAUAACUGUCAGCCAAAAUUCUAUGGGAAAAUCAGAGAAUCCGAAAUCCAAUCUCGCGCCUUACGGCAAUUCCUCUGCCAAAGUUCACCCGUCGAACGACCCUGAAAUCGAUCCUAAUUCCUACUCGCUCGAGAAGUUUAGGCUUUAUGAGACCAGACAGAGAUUUUAUCUAAUUGGUAGUGAUCGGAGCAAGAGGUUCUUUCGGGUAUUGAAGAUUGAUCGCUCGGAGCCUUCUGAUCUAAAUAUCAGUGAAGACCCAGUAGUUUAUUCACCACAAGAAAUCAAGAGCUUGCUUCAGCGAAUUGCUGAAGGCAAUCGUGCCACUGGAGGUUUAAACUUUGUGGCAAAGGUUUAUGGAAUUGCUGGUUGCAUUAAGUUUAUGGAGUCAUAUUAUUUGAUUCUGGUUACAAGGCGUCGGCAAAUAGGAUGUAUAUGUGGUCAUGCAAUAUAUAGCAUAGAUGAAAGCCAAUUGAUUACAAUUCCGCAUGCUUCCAUUCAAACUGAUGCGGCACAUUCUAAAACUGAGCUAAGGUAUAAAAAGCUAUUAUCCAGUGUGGAUUUGACUAAAGAUUUCUUCUUUAGUUAUACAUAUCCUAUAAUGCAAAGCUUGCAAAAAAAUGUGCUGUCAAUGGAUAAAGAUAGGAUGCCGUACGAUAACAUGUUUGUGUGGAAUGAGUAUCUGACGAAAGCUAUUCGGUCAAGAUGUGGCAAUACCAUUUGGACAAUAGCAUUAGUCCAUGGGCAUUUUAAGCAGAUUAGGCUAUCAAUCUUUGGGAGGGACUUCAGUGUUUCGCUGGUUUCUAGACGCUCUCGACAUUUUGCUGGGACCCGUUACUUGAAAAGGGGAGUGAAUGAUUGGGGAAGAGUUGCAAACGAGGUUGAGACGGAGCAAAUUGUUCUUGAUGAAGAAGCUGGAUCAUGCAAGGGCAGAAUGAGUUCUGUUGUGCAGAUACGUGGUUCAAUUCCCCUUUUCUGGUCACAAGAAGCUUCAAGAUUUAGUCCUAAACCUGAUAUAAUCUGUAACGACACUUGGGCUUUGAUACCUUUGACUAUUUUGUCGUUUAGUAUUAUAGAUCUAUGCAAUAUGAUGUAUAGCUUCACAAAAAUACAUCUUCUAACUCUUAUUUCCUAUUCUACAUCAGUGCAAAGGUAUGAUCCUACCUACCAGGCAACCAAAUUGCAUUUCGAGGACUUGACAAAGAGAUAUGGAAAUCCAAUAA
rnacentral:misc_RNA from 1 species